rfam:Ignavibacteria bacterium RIFOXYD12_FTLL_36_8 rifoxyd3_full_scaffold_312, whole genome shotgun sequence.
AGCUCAUACCGGGCAAUUGCUUCUCCCGAUGUAUCGGGAGGGGAGGAAAGUCCGAACUUCACAGAACAGAGUGCCGGGUAACACCCGGGAUUCCGAAUAAAAUCGGGAUACGGAAAGUGCCACAGAAAAUAUACAACUCCGGCUUUAAGUCGGGGUAAAGGUGAAAAGGCAGGGUAAGAGCCUACCGCAGCAAUGGUAACAUUGUUGGUCCCUUUGGGAUUCCGCUUUGCGGAACAAGGUAAACCCCACUCGAAGCAAGGUCAAGUAGGAAAAUCUUUCCGUCAGCUGACGGAACAAAGUUGUUCGCUUUGAAUGAUUUUCGGGUGGACCGCUAGAAUUCCGAAGUAAUUCGGAAACCAGACAAAUAAUUGCCAGGGUUGACUAAAUUAUUAUGCGUUCUUAGUAUUCCUUCGAGUCUUGGUGUCUUAGUGGCAAAUAGAUUCUUUUCAAACGAAAUCAGACUGUCUGCCACGGAGUCUCAAUCAGUCAAUUGACGGACACAAAGUUUUUACGAAGUAUAAUAUGGUCAAUCCGUACAGAAUUCGGCUUAUAGGUUUGAGCUUACU